rnacentral:rRNA from 1 species
UACGUAGGGUGCGAGCGUUGUCCGGAAUUAUUGGGCGUAAAGGGCUCGUAGGCGGUUUGUCGCGUCGGGAGUGAAAACUCAGGGCUUAACCCUGAGCCUGCUUCCGAUACGGGCAGACUAGAGGUAUGCAGGGGAGAACGGAAUUCCUGGUGUAGCGGUGAAAUGCGCAGAUAUCAGGAGGAACACCAGUGGCGAAGGCGGUGGUCUGGGCCGAUACUGACGCUGUAGAGCGAAAGCGUGGGGAGCAAACAGG